GUAGGUAUAGCUUAGUGGUAGUGCGCAUGCUUAGCACGCACAAGGUCCUGGGUUCAAUCCCUAGUACCACCA
rnacentral:tRNA from 1 species